GGACCGGCCACUUCACAGACCUGCAAACAGGCCUGGAGAGGGAAAAGACCCACGAAGCCUCCUCAGCUCCAUUUGGGCCCAGGGAUGUGAGAUUCGGAGUCCAUGCUAUCUUCACCACCCAGCUCUUCCUCUGUCUCCAAUAUAGGAAGAGGCUGCCUGUCUGGCCUGUGGCUGGCCUCCCUGGACACAGCCUGGUGCUGCCACCCUUGGAGUCUGUGAAGAUGGCUGUGGGCAGUGUGACCCACCACCACGCACCCCACAUACCACACCUGUUUGGGCUUAGGGGGUCAUCCCACACCAACCAGGUCCACCCAAAACCUGGCAGGCUGUAGCUUCCUGGCCACACUAGAGUCGAGGGAGGUGGCUGGAUGGGAGACUCCAGCAGCCCCAGGUCCCCUGGGUAAGGGGGCUUGCAGACCUUACCCGCCCUGGGUGGGGCAGACGCCUGAUCAGCCUUGGGCAUACACCAUCCUUCCCUGGCCCAGGACUCAGCUGAUUCCUACUCCCAGUGACUGAAGAUGGGCUGAGGGGCCGGAGCAGUGGCUCACGCCUGUAAUCCCAACACUCUGGGAGGCCGAGGUGGGUGGAUCACCUGAGGUCAGGAGUUCGAGACCAGCCUGGCCAAUGUGGCGAAACCCCGUCUCUACUGAAAAUACAAAAAAAAUUAGCCAGGCGUGGUGGUGGGCAUCUGUAAUCCCAGCUACUGGGGAGGUUGAGGCAGGA
rnacentral:lncRNA from 10 species